rnacentral:rRNA from 1 species
GGAAUUUUCCGCAAUGGGCGAAAGCCUGACGGAGCAACGCCGCGUGAGGGAUGAAGGCCUCUGGGCUGUAAACCUCUUUUAUCAAGGAAGAAGAUCUGACGGUACUUGAUGAAUAAGCCACGGCUAAUUCCGUGCCAGCAGCCGCGGUAAUACGGGAGUGGCAAGCGUUAUCCGGAAUUAUUGGGCGUAAAGCGUCCGCAGGCGGUCUUUUAAGUCUGUCGUCAAAGCGUGGAGCUUAACUCCAUUACUGCGAUGGAAACUGGGAGACUAGAGUGUGGUAGGGGCAGAGGGAAUUCCCGGUGUAGCGGUGAAAUGCGUAGAUAUCGGGAAGAACACCAGUGGCGAAGGCGCUCUGCUGGGCCAUAACUGACGCUCAUGGACGAAAGCCAGGGGAGCGAAAGGGAUUAGAUACCCCUGUAGUCCUGGCCGUAAACGAUGAACACUAGGUGUCGGGGGAAUCGACCCCCUCGGUGUCGUAGCCAACGCGUUAAGUGUUCCGCCUGGGGAGUACGCGCGCAAGUGUGAAACUCAAAGGAAUUGACGG